rnacentral:rRNA from 1 species
UACGGAGGGUGCAAGCGUUAAUCGGAAUUACUGGGCGUAAAGCGCACGCAGGUGGCUGAGUCAGUCGAUUGUGAAAGCCCUGGGCUUAACCUGGGAAUUGCAGUCGAUACUACUUAGCUAGAGUAUGGGAGAGGGCAGUGGAAUUCCCGGUGUAGCGGUGAAAUGCGUAGAUAUCGGGAGGAACAUCAGUGGCGAAGGCGGCUGCCUGGCCCAAUACUGACACUCAGGUGCGACAGCGUGGGGAGCGAACGGG